rnacentral:lncRNA from 1 species
UUCUUAUAAUCAGGCAAGCUUUAUCGAUGGCAGCUCAACUGUCAGUCUUCAGCAGGAAUAUGAUGGUGUAAGCUGGUAGUGAUUGCUAUCUCCAUUGUCUAGUUUUGACAGAGUUUAACUUCAGCUCCUUUGAACACUGUUAAGUAUUUCCAACUGAAUGAAGGCAGAGUCUGCAUUAUUGUUAAUCAAGUGAACUGAGAGAAGCCCACAUACACUUCAGAGCUAAGAGCUUGUGAACAUCAGAGAGCUGAAGAAAGCUUGUCUAAAGUGGAAUUUAUUAGAAGUUCAUGACAAUGACUACAAAGCACACUUUGAAGAGUUGAGGUGAGGAAGCAUACAUGCAUCAGCCAUUGAAGAGUUGCACAGCUGAGUGGUAUUAAGGCAGUUUGCCAAAAGACUGAUGUCAAGAUUUGGCUAAAGUACCUUUUACAGUUUAUCUGGAUAAUUUUGAUGCCAGUUCUAUUUUUCCAGUGUACCCGUUGACCACCUUGUAUCAUCAAGAAAUAUCAUUAUCCAAAUCAUGAAUGA